rnacentral:rRNA from 1 species
CACGUAGGGUGCGAGCGUUGUCCGGAAUUAUUGGGCGUAAAGAGCUCGUAGGCGGUGUGUCGCGUCGGCCGUGAAAACCUGGGGCUUAACUCUGGGCUUGCGGUCGAUACGGGCAUCACUGGAGUUCGGCAGGGGAGACUGGAAUUCCUGGUGUAGCGGUGAAAUGCGCGGAUAUCAGGAGGAACACCGGUGGCGAAGGCGGGUCUCUGGGCCGAUACUGACGCUGAGGAGCGAAAGCGUGGGGAGCGAACAGG